rnacentral:lncRNA from 1 species
UUUUUUUUUUUUUUUACAGAUGAGGAUCUUGCUAUGGUUGCCCAGGCUGGUCUCAAACUCCUGGCCUCAAGUUGUACCCUUGCCUCAGCCUGCCAAAUCAUUUUGAUUAUAGGCAUGACCCACUGCACCUGGGUCCUAAUGAGUGUGAUAUGAAGAUUAAAUGAUGUAAUGUAUGCAUAAUUUUUCACCUGAAGUAGGCUAUCAAUGUUAGUUUUCGUCUUUCAAAAUAGUUAACAAAAUGAAUUUUUAAAACAAUAGUCCCAGGAGAAUCUGAAGCUUUAGGUUCUUCACUUUGAUUCACCUCCAAUGUUCCAGAGGCUUUCCUUGUGUACAUGAGAUAGUUUGGGAACUUUCUGUUUGGUGUUAUGCCGGUGGUCUUUUGUCCUAUGUUAUUUUCAUGGCUGUCGAUUGACCAAGGGUCUAUAAACUACAGUAAUCUUAGGAAAAUCAGGUGCAGAAUUGGAGUGGGCUUCUACAAGUUAUUGGUAUCUGAAACUACUGGUUAUUAAAAUGAUUCUUGUCACUUGAGGAAUGAUACAGAAUCACCCACCCCAUCUCCUUUCACUCAAAGAGGAGUACAAAAGGUAUCACCCAUAAUUAGUGUGUUUUGUUGUUAAUGUUCCCAAGUGAAGCCUAGAAAUGGAGCCAAGGUUAUCACAUCCACGUGGAACAUUCUUUUUCGCCUCUAGUCAGGAGAUAGCAGAAGGAAGUUUUGUUUCUCUCUUUUUCUGCAACUAUGCUACAAUUUGACACUGAAAAUACGCAGGCUCGAGGUUUAAUUUGAAUAUCUAUGGUAUAAAAUUACCAGUGUUCACAUCCCCUAGCAUUUUCCUGACAAAUUAAUUGCCAAUACAAUUUUCAGCAGUCAGUACGUGUGGAGCAAGGCAGGGUUGAGGGUUCAGCUUAUGGGAGGUAAUUAUAGGUGCCCUUGGCCGGGAAAGAGCACAGAUGAUGCUAAAGGAGCCAGUGUUUUGGGUAAGCAGCACCUGCUCCUUUGCCAGCUCUGUAGACCCAUGGAUCUGGGAAACACAUAUAAUUUGGAGGACUUAGCGUCUACCUUUGGUACACGUAAUUUAAUCUCUUAAUCAUCGUGUGUUCUGUGGCUGCCGUGAGCUCUCUGAAACUGAACUGUGUGUUUCCAUUACUUGGUUCUUAGAUCUUUGCUCCAUUUAUUCAAUACUUCAAGACUUCAAAGCAUCAGGAUAAAGAAGGCAAACAGCAAAACUCUAAAAGGCAGAGAGUAAACAAAGCUAUAAAGAGAUUCUUCAGUUUGGCUAGGUCUAAGGGAAGGAGAACUUUUGUUGAUAUAUCUGAAAGUAAGUGGUCUCCUCUGAAAGAGGUGGAAAAACAUUCUGUUGAGGUGAAGCACCUGACCUUUUAAGAAAUACUCUCUGCUUAUUUCUAAGUAUUCAUUGGAAAACCAUUUAUCUCAAAUAUAUACCUUUAGACAAGA